CCUACGGGGGGCUGCAUUUUUUAAUCUUUUCCCCUUUUUUCCCCCCUGCCCCCGCCCCCCCGCGUGUGUGCCGCAGGCCCUCGGGUUGUAAAGCACUUUCAGUGAGGAAGAACGCCUGGUGGUUAAUACCCAUCAGGAAAGACAUCACUCACAGAAGAAGCACCGGCUAACUCCGUGCCAGCAGCCGCGGUAAUACGGAGGGUGCGAGCGUUAAUCGGAAUUACUGGGCGUAAAGCGCGCGUAGGUGGCUUGAUAAGCCGGUUGUGAAAGCCCCGGGCUCAACCUGGGAACGGCAUCCGGAACUGUCAAGCUAGAGUGCAGGAGAGGAAGGUAGAAUUCCCGGUGUAGCGGUGAAAUGCGUAGAGAUCGGGAGGAAUACCAGUGGCGAAGGCGGCCUUCUGGACUGACACUGACACUGAGGUGCGAAAGCGUGGGUAGCAAACAGGAUUAGAUACCCGGGUAGUC
rnacentral:rRNA from 1 species